rnacentral:misc_RNA from 1 species
AUAUAUAAAUCAACCUUCUCUUGAUGAGUGGUUUGGAUGUGGGGGUUUGCUGGCAGCCUCUUUGAGGAUUCAGCUCCCCUGAAAUGCAUUAGCAGAACAAACCCGUUCAUUGGUGUGAUAACUAUCUACGCUAUUGAAUGUGAGGUGACAGUUCAGCUUUCUAACAGUCUUUGGACAAAUUCAUCAUUA